UUUAUUUCUAAUUUUUUCCUAUAGUAAAGUAUGAAUACAAAUGGAAAGGUUUUCUUUUCAUAAAACAGAAAGCUAAUUAAGUUGUUUUAAAGUGUAGGUACAUUUAUUAUAUGCAAAUCAAAGUAUUUGAUGAAAUAAAAAAAUAUAAUCAUGCUUAUGCUGAACUAACUUAUUUCAGUCACUAGCCUGUCAAUAAUUCCUUUAUCCUAUCUAAAAAUGAAUAUGCAAUUUUUUCAACAUUCUAAUAAACAGAUCUGACCAGUAAAUUCCUACUUAUUAUCUCAGUCAUUGUCGCUUGGCCCUACUCCAAGAGCAUUUUAUUUAUUAUAAGUAUAUUCAUUGAGGAAAGAAAGUGUAUAGUAGAAGAACGGAGGACAAAAAUACAUUUUACGUUAUAUCAGUGAAUGCGGAGAGGAUCCUAUCCAACUAUAAAUGAGUGUAGGGGCUGCACAUGUACUAUUUUGCUUACAUUGCCCCUUAUAAUAGGGGAAAAACUCGAUAUCAACCACAAUUGGUUCCAAAAAAUCAUAUAACUUCAAUACAGUUUAGAUUUUAUACACUCCGACUUACACAAUCGUCUCUGUAUAGUCCUCAAAGAGUCGAAAAUUGGAAGGAAGAGGUUGAAGAACAUAUGAAGAGUCUUAAUAAUAAAAAAAUGAAUAUGAUGAAAAUGGGAGAUUGUGACUCUGGAUAUUCUGAUGGAUAAAGGAAGCAUUUAUGGCUGUAAAUGUAUCGGACAUUGAUCACUGUAUUAAGAAAGUGUAUUACUCCGUGGUGUUGAUGGGUACCAAAGAUCACGAGGGAAUUAUCAUAUCUACAUAUCAUGAACUUUGAGCCAAAGAACAUUGUACAGAGCUCAAAAAAUACUUAAUACAUUACAUUAUAUUUCAUUUGAUUGUAAUGGGAACUUCUUGAUAAUUGCAUAUUAUGUAUAUGUAACAAGAUUUGAUUAAAAUCCUUGAAAAAUA
rnacentral:lncRNA from 1 species